rnacentral:rRNA from 1 species
UGGGGAAUAUUGGACAAUGGGCGAAAGCCUGAUCCAGCCAUGCCGCGUGUGUGAAGAAGGUCUUCGGAUUGUAAAGCACUUUAAGUUGGGAGGAAGGGCAGUAACUUAAUACGUUGCUGUUUUGACGUUACCGACAGAAUAAGCACCGGCUAACUCUGUGC